rnacentral:rRNA from 1 species
UAGAUGCGAGAGUAGAGCAUAUCAAUAAGCGGAGGAAAAGAAACUAACAAGGAUUCCCUUAGUAACGGCGAGUGAAGCGGGAAGAGCUCAAAUUUGAAAUCUUCAAGGUUCUACCUUGACGAAUUGUAGUUUAAAGAAGUGUUUUCUGUUAGAUGAGUAGCAAAAGUUCCUUGGAAUGGGACAUCAUAGAGGGUGAGAAUCCCGUAUUUGGUUAUUCAUUCUAGCUUUGUGAUACACUUUCAAAGAGUCGGAUUGUUUGGGAAUGCAGUCCAAAAUGGGUGGUAAAUUUCAUCUAAAGCUAAAUAUUGGCGAGAGACCGAUAGCGAACAAGUACCGUGAGGGAAAGAUGAAAAGAACUUUGAAAAGGAGAGUUAAACAGUACGUGAAAUUGUCAAAAGGGAAGCGUUUGACACCAGUGUUGUUUUUCCGAAAAUCAAUUACGAAUGGCUUGAUUUUGUGUUGUAUUGACCUUAUCAGCUUUCUGCACUUUUUUCGAGUCUUUCUUAAUGCACUUUUCGGUUAACAAGUCAACAUCAAUUUCUUUUGUUGUAAAAGAGUAUUCGGAAGGUGGCUUUCUUUUCGGAGAAAGUGUUUAUAGCCCUAUACUUCUACAAUCGGAGAGAUUGAGGUCUGCAGCGUAGAUCCUUCGGGGUUAGAUACAUUUGUGCUAAGUUGUAGCUUUUCAUAGACAACUUGUUGACUAUGUUUAGUCAUGCGGCUUACUCGCUUAUGCUAUUUUACCUACGCUUAGGAUGUUGAGCGCAUGUCUCUCUCU